UUAAGCGACUAAGCGUACACGGUGGAUGCCCUGGCAGUCAGAGGCGAUGAAGGACGUGCUAAUCUGCGAUAAGCGUCGGUAAGGUGAUAUGAACCGUUAUAACCGGCGAUUUCCGAAUGGGGAAACCCAGUGUGUUUCGACACACUAUCAUUAACUGAAUCCAUAGGUUAAUGAGGCGAACCGGGGGAACUGAAACAUCUAAGUACCCCGAGGAAAAGAAAUCAACCGAGAUUCCCCCAGUAGCGGCGAGCGAACGGGGAGCAGCCCAGAGCCUGAAUCAGUGUGUGUGUUAGUGGAAGCGUCUGGAAAGGCGCGCGAUACAGGGUGACAGCCCCGUACACAAAAAUGCACAUGCUGUGAGCUCGAUGAGUAGGGCGGGACACGUGGUAUCCUGUCUGAAUAUGGGGGGACCAUCCUCCAAGGCUAAAUACUCCUGACUGACCGAUAGUGAACCAGUACCGUGAGGGAAAGGCGAAAAGAACCCCGGCGAGGGGAGUGAAAAAGAACCUGAAACCGUGUACGUACAAGCAGUGGGAGCACAGAGCAAUCUGUGUGACUGCGUACCUUUUGUAUAAUGGGUCAGCGACUUAUAUUCUGUAGCAAGGUUAACCGAAUAGGGGAGCCGAAGGGAAACCGAGUCUUAACUGGGCGUUAAGUUGCAGGGUAUAGACCCGAAACCCGGUGAUCUAGCCAUGGGCAGGUUGAAGGUUGGGUAACACUAACUGGAGGACCGAACCGACUAAUGUUGAAAAAUUAGCGGAUGACUUGUGGCUGGGGGUGAAAGGCCAAUCAAACCGGGAGAUAGCUGGUUCUCCCCGAAAGCUAUUUAGGUAGCGCCUCGUGAAUUCAUCUCCGGGGGUAGAGCACUGUUUCGGCAAGGGGGUCAUCCCGACUUACCAACCCGAUGCAAACUGCGAAUACCGGAGAAUGUUAUCACGGGAGACACACGGCGGGUGCUAACGUCCGUCGUGAAGAGGGAAACAACCCAGACCGCCAGCUAAGGUCCCAAAGUCAUGGUUAAGUGGGAAACGAUGUGGGAAGGCCCAGACAGCCAGGAUGUUGGCUUAGAAGCAGCCAUCAUUUAAAGAAAGCGUAAUAGCUCACUGGUCGAGUCGGCCUGCGCGGAAGAUGUAACGGGGCUAAACCAUGCACCGAAGCUGCGGCAGCGACGCUUAUGCGUUGUUGGGUAGGGGAGCGUUCUGUAAGCCUGCGAAGGUGUGCUGUGAGGCAUGCUGGAGGUAUCAGAAGUGCGAAUGCUGACAUAAGUAACGAUAAAGCGGGUGAAAAGCCCGCUCGCCGGAAGACCAAGGGUUCCUGUCCAACGUUAAUCGGGGCAGGGUGAGUCGACCCCUAAGGCGAGGCCGAAAGGCGUAGUCGAUGGGAAACAGGUUAAUAUUCCUGUACUUGGUGUUACUGCGAAGGGGGGACGGAGAAGGCUAUGUUGGCCGGGCGACGGUUGUCCCGGUUUAAGCGUGUAGGCUGGUUUUCCAGGCAAAUCCGGAAAAUCAAGGCUGAGGCGUGAUGACGAGGCACUACGGUGCUGAAGCAACAAAUGCCCUGCUUCCAGGAAAAGCCUCUAAGCAUCAGGUAACAUCAAAUCGUACCCCAAACCGACACAGGUGGUCAGGUAGAGAAUACCAAGGCGCUUGAGAGAACUCGGGUGAAGGAACUAGGCAAAAUGGUGCCGUAACUUCGGGAGAAGGCACGCUGAUAUGUAGGUGAGGUCCCUCGCGGAUGGAGCUGAAAUCAGUCGAAGAUACCAGCUGGCUGCAACUGUUUAUUAAAAACACAGCACUGUGCAAACACGAAAGUGGACGUAUACGGUGUGACGCCUGCCCGGUGCCGGAAGGUUAAUUGAUGGGGUUAGCGGUAACGCGAAGCUCUUGAUCGAAGCCCCGGUAAACGGCGGCCGUAACUAUAACGGUCCUAAGGUAGCGAAAUUCCUUGUCGGGUAAGUUCCGACCUGCACGAAUGGCGUAAUGAUGGCCAGGCUGUCUCCACCCGAGACUCAGUGAAAUUGAACUCGCUGUGAAGAUGCAGUGUACCCGCGGCAAGACGGAAAGACCCCGUGAACCUUUACUAUAGCUUGACACUGAACAUUGAGCCUUGAUGUGUAGGAUAGGUGGGAGGCUUAGAAGUGUGGACGCCAGUCUGCAUGGAGCCG
rnacentral:rRNA from 1 species